GACGAACGCUGGCGGCGUGCUUAACACAUGCAAGUCGAACGGAAAGGCCUGCUUUCCCUUGUGGCUUACGGGUACUCGAGUGGCGAACGGGUGAGUAACACGUGAGUGAUCUGCCCCCAACUUGGGUAUAAGCCUGGGAAACUGGGUCUAAUUCCCGAUAGGACUGCAGGGUGGUGCCUGUGGUGGAAAACGAUUUUCUAGUGGUUGGGGAUGAGCUCGCGGCCUAUCAGCUUGUUGGUGGGGUAAUGGCCUACCAAGGCGGCGACGGGUAGCCGGCCUGAGAGGGUGGACGGCCACAUUGGGACUGAGAUACGGCCCAGACUCCUACGGGAGGCAGAAGUGGGGAAUAUUGCACAAUGGGCGGAAGCCUGAUGCAGCGACGCCGCGUGGGGGAUGACGGCCUUCGGGUUGUAAACUCCUUUCGACCGCGAGGAAGCCACCUGGUUGGAAGGGUGGUGACGGUAGUGGUAGAAGAAGCACCGGCUAACUACGUG
rnacentral:rRNA from 1 species